CGGACGGGUGAGUAAUGUCUGGGAAACUGCCCGAUGGAGGGGGAUAACUACUGGAAACGGUAGCUAAUACCGCAUAACGUCGCAAGACCAAAGAGGGGGACCUUCGGGCCUCUUGCCAUCGGAUGUGCCCAGAUGGGAUUAGCUAGUAGGUGGGGUAAUGGCUCACCUAGGCGACGAUCCCUAGCUGGUCUGAGAGGAUGACCAGCCGCACUGGAACUUAGACACGGUCCAG
rnacentral:rRNA from 1 species